UCUGAGUAGCAAGCCUAAAGAUGUAA
rnacentral:piRNA from 1 species